GUACUCACUUCGGCAGUACGUGUACUAAAAUUGAAAUAAUACAGAGGAAAUUAAUAUGACCCCUGUGCAAGGAUGACAUGCAAAUUUGCAAAGUGUUCCAUUUGUAA